rnacentral:rRNA from 1 species
UAUGGUUGCCAGCAGCCGCGGUAAUACGGAGGAUGCGAGCGUUAUCCGGAUUUAUUGGGUUUAAAGGGAGCGCAGACGGGUCGUUAAGUCAGCUGUGAAAGUUUGGGGCUCAACCUUAAAAUUGCAGUUGAUACUGGCGUCCUUGAGUGCGGUUGAGGUGUGCGGAAUUCGUGGUGUAGCGGUGAAAUGCUUAGAUAUCACGAAGAACUCCGAUUGCGAAGGCAGCACACUAAUCCGUAACUGACGUUCAUGCUCGAAAGUGUGGGUAUCAAACAGG